rnacentral:tRNA from 3 species
CAAAGAGUAGUUUAGUUAAGAAUUCUAGCUUUGGGAGUUGGAGGCAGGAGUUAAAAUCUCCUCUUUUUGA